rnacentral:rRNA from 1 species
CACGUAGGGCGCAAGCGUUGUCCGGAAUUAUUGGGCGUAAAGAGCUCGUAGGCGGUCUGUUGCGUCCGCUGUGAAAACUCGGGGCUUAACCCCGAGCCUGCAGUGGAUACGGGCAGACUAGAGGUAGGUAGGGGAGAAUGGAAUUACCGGUGUAGCGGUGAAAUGCGUAGAUAUCGGUAGGAACACCAGUGGCGAAGGCGGUCUCCUGGGGCAUUCUUGACGCUGAGGCGCGAAAGCUGGGGGAGCGAACGGG